rnacentral:rRNA from 1 species
AUGGGGAACAUUCUGAAUCUCAUGCGUGGAACAGGAGAUGAUCAGUUUGAACCGUGGCCCAUUCUGGGUUUCAGGGCUAUAUCAGGCCAAGCCAGAUGGAAAGCAAUCCAUCAAAAAGUAAUAGCAAAUGGCCGGUUUCAACUGUUGAGCAUGGCGAUCUGCAUAGCGGCGUCAGAACGCAUUCACGGCAGACCAAUCUAUAAGAAGGGGAUACCGGGUGGUCGAUUUACACUGUUUAGCAUUCUGACUUGUGGUCUUGUAUCCGACUAUAUCUGUCACAGGUUAACCUCUGGAAAGGGGAUACCAAGUGAUCCGUUCGAGAGCCUUCCAGAGGAUGUGCUAUGUACAAUUUUAUCAAAGUUACCUCUGGAUGAGGCUGUAAGGACCAGUGCCGUGUCAAGGAAAUGGAGAUUCUUGUGGACAGUUUGUCCAAACCUGAGUUUUGAAGGAAUUACAAUGUGUGGGAAAGAACAAGAUGUUCAGAAGUUCAUCGAUAAUGUUAAUGCAGUCUUGGCACAGUGCCACGGCAGUGUUUUUGAUGAGCUUGCCAUCAAAUUUGAUUUUGACACCAUGCUAGUUGACCAUCUCAAUAAUUGGGCUCGCUUUGUGGUAUCCUCACGGAUAAAGUUCCUAACUUUUGAUUUGGCACCAGAAAAUUUUGGAGGUCGUUAUGAACGGUACUUAUUUCCGUUCCAACUUUUAGAUAGUGGAAGUACAUCUCGUCUACAGAAAAUCCAUCUUAGCUUUGGAUAUCUCCAGCCACCAACUGGGUUCAGUGGUUUCCCUAACCUACGGAAGCUUGAUCUGAACUUAGUGAAUGUCACUGGAAAAGAUCUUCAAGACAUGUUAUCAAAUUGCUGUAACCUAGAGUGGUUAAGUAUUAUUAGAUGUCAUCUCUAUGAUGAACUAAAGGUCAACGGUCCACUGCCUCACCUGCUAUACUUGCAUUUUUCAUUCUGCGAGAUAACGAAGAUUGCACUGCGUGCUGUGAAACUUACAAAUUUUGUGUACAAGGGAAAGUCAGUAUGUAUCGACCUCGGCAAAUCUUCAAGACUUGAAAGUGCAGAUAUUAGUUUUUAUGGAGUAACUCUUGAGGAUGCUGCCACCCAACUUGCUAAUGUGUUUACACAUGUUCAAUUUCUGACUUUUGAUACUUCCUACGAACCACCACAGAUACCCUGCCUGAUGCGUAAGCCAUGCAAGUUUUUCGAGCUGAGGCAUUUGAAACUGAUGCUCCUAUUUGAAAGCGAUGUCGACACUCCGCAUUUGGUCUCCUUUCUGAUGUCUGCUCCUUUCAUCGAAAUUUUGGAGAUGGAUUUAAUUGUUUCUCCGUCCCCAUACACGGGACAUGUGUCGAUGGAGGGACUUCUGGACCGUCCAUAUAAACAUCUGAAGAAUGUGUGCAUGUCGGCAUUCCGAGGAUCCAGAGGCCAGCUUGAAUUUCUUUUGCACAUAGUGGAAAAUGCCCCUGCUUUGGGAUUUUUAACUAUAGACCAUACAUAUAAACAGGUGAAGCGUGUGUGGAAAGAUGCUGCAAAGGAAGCGAAAUUUGUGGAUUCAGUUCAUCGAACCGCUAGAGGAUAUCUCAAAGGAAAGAUCUCUCCCCAGUGUUCUCUGAGAUUAGUUUAA